rnacentral:piRNA from 1 species
UCAUAGUUUUGCUUCUGUGCCUAGGAACCA